rnacentral:ncRNA from 1 species
UUCUGACCCUCGGCUGCGAUCUCCAGCCGUUUCUGCCCUGACGCACUUCCCCGGCGCCAGGUCGAAACGGAGGGGGAUCGGAGCAGAGGGCCCCAGGGCC